GACGAACGCUGGCGGUGUGCUUAACACAUGCAAGUCGAACGGUAAGGCCCUUUCGGGGGUACACGAGUGGCGAACGGGUGAGUAACACGUGAGUAACCUGCCCUCAUCUCUGGGAUAACAGUCGGAAACGGUUGCUAAUACUGGAUAUGAGCUUGCAAGGCAUCUUGUGGGUUGGAAAGAUUUUUUUUGGUUGGGGAUGGACUCGCGGCCUAUCAGCUUGUUGGUGAGGUAGUGGCUCACCAAGGCUUCGACGGGUAGCCGGCCUGAGAGGGCGACAGGCCACAGUGGGACUGAGAUACGGCCCAAACUCUUACGGGAGGGAGCAGUGGGGAAUAUUGCACAAUGGACGGAAGUCUGGUGCAGCAACGCCGCGUGCGGGAUGACGGCCUUCGGGUUGUAAACCGCUUUCAAUUGUGACGAAGCUUUUUUGUGACGGUAGCAGUAGAAGAAGCACCGGCUAACUACGUG
rnacentral:rRNA from 1 species